UACGAGGGGGGCAAGCGUUGUUCGGAAUUAUUGGGCGUAAAGGGCGCGUAGGCGGUUCGACAAGUCUGAUGUGAAAUCUCUGGGCUCAACCCAGAGUCUGCAUUAGAAACUGUCGGGCUUGAGUAUGGGAGAGGUGAGUGGAAUUUCCGGUGUAGCGGUGAAAUGCGUAGAUAUCGGAAGGAACACCUGUGGCGAAAGCGGCUCACUGGACCAUAACUGACGCUGAGGCGCGAAAGCUAGGGGAGCAAACAGG
rnacentral:rRNA from 1 species